rnacentral:rRNA from 1 species
GCUUGUCUCAAAGAUUAAGCCAUGCAUGUCUAAGUGUAAAUACGUCUACACUGUGAAACUGCGAAUGGCUCAUUAAAUCAGUUAUCGUUUAUUUGAUGAUCUCUCGUUACAUGGAUAACCGUAGUAAUUCUAGAGCUAAUACAUGCGUCAAGCCCCGACUCACGAAGGGGUGUAUUUAUUAGAUUCAAAACCAAACGGCUUCGGCCGUCUCAUUGGUGACUCUGAAUAACUUUGGGCUGAUCGUAUGGCCUUGUGCCGACGACGUUUCCUUCGAAGGUGUGCCCUAUCAACUGUCGACUGUGAUAUAGACGCUCACAGUGGUUUUGACGGGUAACGGGGAAUCAGGGUUCGAUUCCGGAGAGGGAGCCUUAAAAACGGCUACCACAUCCAAGGAAGGCAGCAGG